GAUGAACGCUGGCGGCGUGCCUAAUACAUGCCAGUCGAGCGAACGGACGAGAAGCUUGCUUUUCUGAUGUUAGCGGCGGACGGGUGAGUAACACGUGGAUAACCUACCUAUAAGACUGGGAUAACUUCGGGAAACCGGAGCUAAUACCGGAUAAUAUUUUGAACCGCAUGGUUCAAAAGUGAAAGACGGUCUUGCUGUCACUUAUAGAUGGAUCCGCGCUGCAUUAGCUAGUUGGUAAGGUAACGGCUUACCAAGGCAACGAUGCAUAGCCGACCUGAGAGGGUGAUCGGCCACACUGGAACUGAGACACGGUCCAGACUCCUACGGGAGGCAGCAGUAGGGAAUCUUCCGCAAUGGGCGAAAGCCUGACGGAGCAACGCCGCGUGAGUGAUGAAGGUCUUCGGAUCGUAAAACUCUGUUAUUAGGGAAGAACAUAUGUGUACGUAACUGUGCACAUCUUGACGGUACCUAAUCAGAAAGCCACGGCUAACUACGUG
rnacentral:rRNA from 1 species